UGGGGAAUAUUGGACAAUGGGCGCAAGCCUGAUCCAGCCAUGCCGCGUGAGUGAUGAAGGCCCUAGGGUUGUAAAGCUCUUUCACCGGUGAAGAUAAUGACGGUAACCGGAGAAGAAGCCCCGGCUAACUUCGUGCCAGCAGCCGCGGUAAUACGAAGGGGGCUAGCGUUGUUCGGAUUUACUGGGCGUAAAGCGCACGUAGGCGGACUUUUAAGUCAGGGGUGAAAUCCCGGGGCUCAACCCCGGAACUGCCUUUGAUACUGGAAGUCUUGAGUAUGGUAGAGGUGAGUGGAAUUCCGAGUGUAGAGGUGAAAUUCGUAGAUAUUCGGAGGAACACCAGUGGCGAAGGCGGCUCACUGGACCAUUACUGACGCUGAGGUGCGAAAGCGUGGGGAGCAAAACAGGAUUAGAUACCCUGGUAGUCCACGCCGUAAACGAUGAAUGUUAGCCGUUGGGGAGUUUAACUCUUCGGUGGCGCAGCU
rnacentral:rRNA from 1 species